GACGAACGCUGGCGGCGUGCUUAACACAUGCAAGUCGAACGGAAAGGCCCUGCUUUUGUGGGGUGCUCGAGUGGCGAACGGGUGAGUAACACGUGAGUAACCUGCCCUUGACUUUGGGAUAACUUCAGGAAACUGGGGCUAAUACCGGAUAGGAGCUCCUGCUGCAUGGUGGGGGUUGGAAAGUUUCGGCGGUUGGGGAUGGACUCGCGGCUUAUCAGCUUGUUGGUGGGGUAGUGGCUUACCAAGGCUGUGACGGGUAGCCGGCCUGAGAGGGUGACCGGCCACAUUGGGACUGAGAGACGGCCCAGACUCCUACGGGAGGCAGCAGGGGGGAAUAUUGCACAAUGGGCGGAAGCCUGAUGCAGCAACGCCGCGUGCGGGAUGACGGCCUUCGGGUUGUAAACCGCUUUCGCCUGUGACGAAGCGUGAGUGACGGUAAUGGGUAAAGAAGCACCGGCUAACUACGUG
rnacentral:rRNA from 1 species